GACGAACGCUGGCGGCGUGCUUAACACAUGCAAGUCGAACGGAAAGGCCCUGCUUUUGUGGGGUGCUCGAGUGGCGAACGGGUGAGUAACAGGUGAGUAUCCUGCCCUUGACUUUGGGAUAACUUCAGGAAACUGGGGCUAAUACCGGAUAGGAGCUCCUGCUGCAUGGUGGGGGUUGGAAAGUUUCGGCGGUUGGGGAUGGACUCGCGGCUUUUCAGCUUGUUGGUGGGGUAGUGGCUUACCAAGGCUUUGACGGGUAGCCGGCCUGAGAGGGUGGCCGGGCACAUUGGGACUAAGAUACGGCCCAGAGUGCAACGGGAGGCAGCAGUGGGGAAUAUUGCACAAUGGGCGGAAGCCUGAUGCAGCAACGCCGCGUUCGGGAUGACGGCCUUCUGGUUGUAAACCGCUUUCGCCUGUGACGAAGCGGGAGUGACGGUAAUGGGUAAAGAAGCACCGGCUAACUACGUG
rnacentral:rRNA from 1 species